AUGGCAUACCAAAACAACAACUAUGGAUGGAGUCACAUUCAUGAGAUUUUGGAACCUGUAUCCUAUCCGCGGCAUCAUCAUCAUCAUCAUCAUCAAAACCUUCAUGGUGCAACAUCCGAGGAACCUAAGGCAAACCAAUCAUACUAUAAAAAUGUUUGUCGUGAGAAUGAGGCCGAUCGACAAGAUUCGAGGUUUCGCCACCGCAAUAAUAGUACUUAUGAAAGUGUUGAUCAAGAGGCUGAGGCUUUUAUUCAACAUGAACAUAGGAGAAUGGCAUUAGCCAAACUCAUGAAGAGUACUUAA